AAAUGUUAGUAAAUGAUUUAAAGUAUUAUUAGUGAACCAAUAAUACUAGAAGGUGAAUUAAUAUUAUCUAAGUUAAUAAUAUUAUGUGAAUUAAAGGUAGUCGUUAAUUAAUAAUAACACUAUCUAGACAUGAUAAUGUUUAUAAGAACUUAAUGUAAUGUAUAAUAUCUAUGUGAUUACAUAAUCUGAUGUUAUGCAUUGACUAAUUGAAAGACUAAUUAUAGGUCUCUCAAAGGAAGAUAAUUUAACUGCAUAGUGGAUAGAAAUUAAUUUCGUAGCCGUAACCUACGAUCGAGGCAAGUUUCCUAACUCAAACUCGAGUUAUUUUUUUCAAAGCAUGUUAGUGAAUAAUUAUUGAUGAUUAUUCACGUCUAUAUUGAUUAUUGAAAUUCGAACUUUGUGUAAUUGAAUUCUUAUUCUACUGCUAUUGAACUGUGAAUUAAAUUAAAGUUCUUCAUUGUGAACUGUUUAUGAAAUAGAUCUAUGCUAAUUGUAUCAGCUAGAUCAAGCAUGUCUAAAUUUGUUAAAUCAAAUGUAUUUUUAAUAGCUGUUCUUAUUAAAUUGAUAUGAUAAGGACUCUUGACUGAGAAAAGGACGAAUUUGAUUAAGGCAUGAUAUCAAUGCCGGAUUUAUUAAGUGUUUAUGCAUAAAUCACGGAGUAUGAAAGGCUGAUCCCCUUGAAUACCAAAACUUAUUAAAAGGUCCAGUUUAAAUCACUGAGCACCUUGGCAAAUGUUCAUGGUUAUUCAAAACCACUCAGUUCAUGUUAUUCAAUUAUCGAAUAUUCAAUUGUUGAUUAUUAAUUCAUGUUCCUUCACAAUCUUAUAUUAUUGUUGAACAUUGAAGGCAAUAUUUCUUUCUAAGUCAUGAU
rnacentral:lncRNA from 1 species